AAGGUUUUCUUUCCAGCCAAGGAGGUAAGGACUGCACACCCCCACUGGUUACUCUUACACCCGAAUCUCAGGGCGAGAUUCUUUUAAGGGCGGUAGGCUGUGACGACCGACCCCAAAUCUUUCGAGUUAAUCUUAUCUGAGUCCCUGAUCCCCCUAUCUUAGCUUCCCUGAGUUUAAGUGCUCACCCUCUAGUUCCCGUCCCGACCCCUGAGAACCCGACCCCUCUCCGCCGGUUCCCAGCUCCGACCCCUGAAG
rnacentral:lncRNA from 1 species